GAAAUUUGCGAUUUGUUUGUUGUUGGAUUUGUAGUAUAUAUUGGAAAAUAAUCCCCAUUGAUGUCUGUCAGUAUCUGAUUUUAUGGCUUCUGUAAAGUCUGGUAAGCUCUCCUUUAUCUGUGAUUUUUUUUUUCUUUUUCGAUUUUAACAUGCAAGUGAAAUCUGUCAAUUUUAUUGUUAAAUUUGUAGUAGAUUUUGAAAGAUAAUCUUCAUUUGUGUCAGCAAGUAUCUGAUUUUAUGAUCUCUAUAAUGUCUGGUAAGCCCUCCUCUUCUGUGAUUUUCUUUUCUUUUUUCGUUUGAACAUGCAAGUGAAUUAGAGAUUUGAUGCAGCUGAGCUGAAAAAAAUAUAGAAUGGAACGAAAAGCUUGAGUAACAGAAGAUUUGGAGUUGUAUAUUCAUGUUAAUGAUAUCUUCAUGUUCCUUUUGUACUUGUUUUGAUUAUUCCAUGGCAUAUAUUAAGUCAUAGCUAAUAAGAAUGGUGGAUUGUUCAAUUUUUUUUAUAUUUUUUCCUUUUGAUUUUUGGAUGACUUUUUUUUUUGAAUGUUCUCAUGCUAAGCAAACAAUAUUUGUCCGGUCAAUAUACAUUAUUCGAUGAGUAACAACAUGUACUAAAUGACUUCGACACAUUAGUGCUCAAUACCAGUUCUUAUAGGAGACGUGCUUGACGCUAUCGCUUGCAAUUUUCAUGAAUUCUCCAUAAACGUUUCAGCCGGUUCAAGGCAUCUCCUUAGUGCAUUAUGUCCAAGUUGGGCUCUUUCGUUGUCUCCAAAUCCAAAGACUCAUCCACAAUUUAUUACAACAACAAUGUGGUAUAAGCCAGUGCUAAUUUGAGAUAUGUGGUGGGAUCUCAAGCUCUCCAGGAUCUCGGUCUUCAGAACUUUAUGUGAUGCUCCUCUGUAACGGAACUUGAGGCUACCAAAGCCCAUCCAACCAAAGUCAUAAACAGAACCAUUGUCCACCAGGACAAUCCUGAGAUAUCCCUGACGUACCGAUAGCUCAGGAAUGGCGUUGUACACCAUUCCACAUUUAACCAAACAAAAGGUGGAAUAGCUACACAAGAUUUUUAAACUUCAUGGUUCUGAGUAAUACUGGACGAAAUCAAAAUUGCCACAUGUGACGAUCUUUAAACCUCAACAGCCAUACAAGCAAUGCCUUGCCAACACAUUCAAGGACUUCCCUCCAUCAUUUUUAGUACUUUUGGAUUCUCUCCUGGCUUUUGAACCUGAGUAUCGAAGUUUUGCUACUUUGGCACUUCAAAAUGAGUUCUUCACAACAAAGCCUCUUCCGUGUGAUCCAUCAUUUUUACCCAAGUAUCCUACAAGCAAGGAAUUUGAUGCUAAGAUGAGAGAUGAGGAAGCAAAAAGGCACUCAUUUUCUCAUUUCUCCUUUUCUUUAUAAAAAUAGAUUGAUUGACAUACAAUUCCUUUUAAAAACUUUUUCUUUAUUUAAUCUGAUGUUGUCCUUAAGAAUAUUUUGUUGAUUCUUCUCUACCAUUUAUGUAAAUCUAGUAUGCUGGAAUUUUCCCAUUCAAUUGAUAGAGUUAUUACUCCAUCUAAAAAACAGUAGGUUGUGUUGCAUAUUUUAGCGUAUUGAGGAUUUGGCAUCUCUCAGAUAUUAUGAGAAAAGUUCUAGUAACUUUAUUGUUGCCCAAGAAAAGGCUUUCAGCUUGCGUUUUAUAGUCAUGGUCCCCCAGAAGUUCCUUUUUGGUUUAUUGAUUUCUCAGGGAAGGUAAUGACUGUGAUGUCAAUUGGUUGUUUCUUUAGGUUUUCUUUGUUUGCAUGUAUGUCUAUGAAAUUUGAUUUUUGGUGUGGGUAGAGUUGACCAUUCUGAAAAGUAAAUUACAUUAACUACUCUUUUUUUAUUUUUUUCUGAAAUUGUUUAGAUUCUGUUGAUUGUUUGUGUCUUAGUUUUUCACUUGAAAGGCUUGCUUUUGUUCGCAAAAUAAACAGGGCUGUGUCAAUUUGCUUUUAUUGUAAAUCUUGCUUAUCGGGUACUUGUUAAUCACCUGAGUAUUGAGCUAUAGGGUUGUGUCAAACAUUUGCUUAUAAUAUGUUGAACUCAUAAGCGGUUAUGAAAACUUCAUUAUUAGGUUAAAACCAUAUUAAGACUAAUCUUAAAUAAGUAGCAUUCUCUUGUAUCAGAAUAGCUGGACAUUAGCAUAGAUUUGUAAAAUGUGUCAAUGGUUCAUUCUUCUGUUCCCAUCUCAAAUGGUGGAAAACUAUUAUCUGAAGUAUAUAUAUAAAUAUAGUCAAUUCCUUUUUA